UGGGGAAUUUUGGACAAUGGGCGAAGCCUGAAUCCAGCCAAAUGCCGCGUGUGUGAAGAGGGCCUUCGGGUUGUAAAGCACUUUUGUCCGGAAAGAAAUCCUUGGCUCUAAUACAGUCGGGGGAUGACGGUACCGGAAGAAUAAGCACCGGCUAACUACGUGCCAGCAGCCGCGGUAAUACGUAGGGUGCAAGCGUUAAUCGGAAUUACUGGGCGUAAAGCGUGCGCAGGCGGUUUGCUAAGACCGAUGUGAAAUCCCCGGGCUCAACCUGGGAACUGCAUUGGUGACUGGCAGGCUAGAGUAUGGCAGAGGGGGGUAGAAUUCCACGUGUAGCAGUGAAAUGCGUAGAGAUGUGGAGGAAUACCGAUGGCGAAGGCAGCCCCCCUGGGGCCAAUACUGACGCUCAUGCACGAAAGCGUGGGGAGCAAACAGGAUUAGAUACCCUGGUAGUCCACGCCCUAAACGAUGUCAACUAGUUGUUGGGGAUUCAUUUCCUUAGUAACGUAGCUAACGCGUGAAGUUGACCGCCUGGGGGAGUACGGUCGCAAGAUUAAAACUC
rnacentral:rRNA from 1 species